CGAUGGGAGGGGUACAGAGGACGUGGUGGUGAUCGAGGUCGGGGUGGAUACAGAGACUCAGGACCAAUGAAGGGAGACCGUGGUCCAGGAAGGUCCAGACCUUACUAAAAGAAAAAAAUCCUAGAAGUUAUUAGAGAUAGUUGAAAGGUGGCACAAUGUCUAACACAGAUAUUAUAAGAUAGUCAAUGCAGUAUUUUAUAUUCUUGACAUGCAAUAAGUCAGAACACAUGUUACAAAUCCUUUUUUGUCUUUUAUUUUUUUAUCAUUUUGUUAGUAUUAUUAUUAUUGUUAUUAUUAUUAUUAUUAUUAUUAUUAUUAUUAUUAUUAUUAUUAUUAUUAAAUUAUUAUCAUGCCCAUUAUCAACAAUCAUUUUGUAGACAUUGAACUUAAAGUACAUGGUACUUUCUUUCCUUUUUGUUUCUCUCAUUUUUUUGGUUUGUAAGAUUUGACAUAUUUGUCAAACAUAGGAAUAAGCAAAGGUUGAGCACUGAAGAAAAUAAUGUUAAUAUAACAGUACAAAAUUUCAAUAUCAGACAUUUAGCUGUACUUUCUAAAUUGAAUCAUGGGUCCAUACUUUGCUCAUCAUCUUUUAGAUCAAUUUUAAAUAAUAGUCCAUAGAAUAAUUACCAAAUGGCAUUAAUAUGGAAUGAACUCACUUGUAUAUGUUACAGCUGAAUUUUAAGACGGCAAUUUAUAUCAAGUAUUGCCAUGGGAGCCAACUGAGUAAGAUGGCUUGAAUUAGUUACAUUCAGUGGUUUGAAUUAUGAAGGAAAUUUGGUAUCUUGCGUGAAGUUCUCAAGACGUGAGCUUCAACAUAGAAGCAUCUUGAAGUAUUUGGAAUGGUUUCUUAUUUUGUCAUAUAGUAAUAGGAGUAUGCACAGUGCGUCUAGCCCAGAAAAAAAUAUAUUUGUAAGGGUGGAUAUUCACCUCUGAAUGUUUUACUUUCUGUAACAAUAAAAAUUGAACCUUUCUCUUAUAAAA